UACGUAGGGGGGCAAGCGUUGUCCGGAUUUAUUGGGCGUAAAGAGCGUGUAGGCGGCCGUACAGGUCAGCUGUGAAAAACUCGAGGCUCAACCUCGAGACGUCGGUUGAAACCGUACGGCUAGAGUCCGGAAGAGGAGAGUGGAAUUCCCGGUGUAGCGGUGAAAUGCGCAGAUAUCGGGAAGAACACCCGUGGCGAAGGCGGCUCUCUGGGACGGUACUGACGCUGAGACGCGAAAAGCGUGGGGGAGCGAACAGG
rnacentral:rRNA from 1 species